GCGGAGGAUCAUUAGUGAAUAUAGGACGUCCAACUUAACUUGGAGUCCGAACUCUCACUUUCUAACCCUGUGCACUUGUUUGGGAUAGUAACUCUCGCAAGAGAGCGAACUCCUAUUCACUUAUAAACACAGAGUCUAUGAAUGUAUUAAAUUUUAUAACAAAAUAAAACUUUCAACAACGGAUCUCUUGGCUCUCGCGUCGAUGAAGAACGCAGCGAAAUGCGAUAAGUAAUGUGAAUUGCAGAAUUCAGUGAAUCAUCGAAUCUUUGAACGCACCUUGCGCUCCAUGGUAUUCCGUGGAGCAUGCCUGUUUGAGUGUCAUGAAUACUUCAACCCUCCUCUUUCUUAAUGAUUGAAGAGGUGUUUGGUUUCUGAGCGCUGCUGGCCUUUACGGUCUAGCUCGUUCGUAAUGCAUUAGCAUCCGCAAUCGAACUUCGGAUUGACUUGGCGUAAUAGACUAUUCGCUGAGGAAUUCUAGUCUUCGGACUAGAGCCGGGUUGGGUUAAAGGAAGCUUCUAAUCAGAAUGUCUACAUUUUAAGAUUAGAUCUCAAAUCAGGUAGGACUACCCGCUGAACUUAAGCAUAUCAAUAAGCGGAGGAA
rnacentral:rRNA from 1 species